rnacentral:lncRNA from 1 species
UAACAACAAUAUAUUACAAGUUGACAACCAUAACAAACUGAGCCUGAGUUUGAAGUCCACACAUGCACACAUAUGCAACAAGAGUUCACAAACGAAAGAACCAUGAGUUUAAAGUUCACACAUGCAUACAUAUACAACGAAGGUUCAAAACAACAUGUGUCCAUAUGCAACAAGAAUUCACAAACGACAGCAUGAGUUCCAAGUUCACACCAAGCAUGAACCUAAAAGAUGCAAUGAGCUUCCACCGCAGCAUGUAUGCCCACCGCCGACGGCAUCUGCGAUGUAAACCUACAAAUCCAUUACCACACGCAUGAGUUUCCAAAGUUAAGUUGCAAAAGAUCAAUAAGGCACAAGAGUCAACAAGCAUCAACAUAUAAGAACUAACACACAUACUAGAAGAUUCACAACAAGUUCUAUCUUGAAGCCCUCAAUCUAGCAGACAAAAAUAUAUAAUGCAUAGAUUUCACAUUUUUCCCAGAGCUUGAGGUCAUUUAAUAUAGAACUACCAUAAGCUGCACCGAUCAUGGAGAGGAACUGAGUAACAAAUGACCAGGCUGCGAUCACCACACAAAAAUGUGUAUUAUCAGAUUUUGGUGGUUACAAAAAUAAGCCAUCACAAAUUUAUGAAAAGGACUAGCACAUCAAUUUGGAUAUAUGUUAUGUAACUAGGUCUGAGGCAUACAAUACAUGAACUAUAAUCAGCAUGUACAACAGCAAGCGGUAGGGUAUAAAAUUUCUACCUGUACUAAACAUACACUAGACAUCCAGCUUUCCGUUCCCAGCAACUAAAGUCUCAAAAUGUACAGUUUCAUCAAAUAGUAGCAGUGCAAACUCACAACUCUUCAAAUAAUGAUUGAGUGCCCAGCACAACAUACCAUUGAGUUGAUUUGGACUCAUCGAGGCCUUGCGCCAUAGCCAAUGUUUCAGUAACUCCUCGUCUCCUAAAAACUUAUCUCUUUAUCCGUGUACAUCUACACCUGCAUGAGGAAACAAUCAAUUAUUUCAUUUGGCUGUAGCAAACGUGGUGAAUAUAUAUAACUACAAUUACCCUUGCAUAAGCUGAAGCGGUCAUGGAGUAGAAACAAGAACAAAUGACCACGGAGCCAAUGCCACACAAACAUAUGUAUCAUCAGAUUUUGGUGCUUGCAAGAAUAACCCGUCAACAAAUUUAUGAAAAAGCCUAGCACAUCAAUUUUAAAAUAUGUGAUGUAACUAGGUCGAGGCAUCCAACAGAUUGACUACAAUCAGCAUGUACAACAGCAAAUGGUGGGCUACCAAAAUAAACAGGGCAGUGAGGUGUGAUAAGUUAUUUAUAAAGCGGGAUUGGGCUUCCCAAAAAACACAUGAGCUAUAAGAAGGCAAUGAGGCGUGAUAAUUUAUUUGUAGAAGAAAAGAGCAUAAUUAGUAAUGUAAACAUCUAGGGCAAGGUAGCAACCUUUUACCGUAGAAAAUCGACACAUUUUCUUCAUCCAGCUAGUCCACCAAUAAU